AUGGCCACCUAAUAUUAUAAUUUUUUACCUUUUCUUGAUUGCAUAAAUAAUAGGCAGCAUCUCAAGAUAGAAAUUUGCUCUCCCUCAACUAAGUCCUAGUCACUACAUUAAAUAUAGCUUAAGAGAAGAGGAGGGGGUGAAACCCUGACAUUAAAAUUUCUAACAAAUGGACACAUUAUGGAAACUGCCAUCUCAAACAGUUAUACGCAUCAUCCAAAUCCUGAUACACCUUUCUUGUCAAAAACCCCAAAUCCCUGUUGAUCAAUCCCAAAUGCAUCUCAAGUCUAACCUCAAUCCAGAAGCCUAUUUAACAACUUACAAU
rnacentral:misc_RNA from 1 species